rnacentral:rRNA from 1 species
CGGGUGCGUAACGCGUAUGCAAUCUACCUUGUACAGAGGGAUAGCCCAGAGAAAUUUGGAUUAAUACCUCAUGGUAUUAUAGAAUGGCAUCAUUUUAUAAUUAAAGUUCCAACGGUACAAGAUGAGCAUGCGUCCUAUUAGCUAGUUGGUAUGGUAACGGCAUACCAAGGCAACGAUAGGUAGGGGUCCUGAGAGGGAGAUCCCCCACACUUGUACUGAGACACGGACCAG